rnacentral:rRNA from 1 species
UGCAAAGUUGUGUAGUGCGAUCGGUGGAUGCCUUGGCACCAAGAGCCGAUGAAGGACGUUGUGACCUGCGAUAAGCCCUGGGGAGUUGGUGAGCGAGCUGUGAUCCGGGGGGGGUCCGAAUGGGGAAACCUGGAAUGUCCGGAGUAGUGUCCGGUGGCCCUGCCCUGAAUGUAUAGGGGUGUGGGUGGUAACGCGGGGAAGUGAAACAUCUUAGUACCCGUAGGAAGAGAAAACAAGUGUGAUUCCGUGAGUAGUGGCGAGCGAAAGCGGAGGAGGCUAAACCGUGUGUGUGUUCAAGCCGGCAGGUGUUGCAUGUGCGGGGUUGUGGGGGCCUUGUGGUUCUGCUGCCGCAGGAUUGGCCAGUGAGAAAUGUUGCGUGAAGGUGAAGCGUCUGGGAAGGCGUACCGGAGUGGGUGAGAGUCCUGUAACUGUAAGCGUGGCACUGGUGUGGGGUUGCCCCGAGUAGCGUGGGACUCGUGGAAUUUCGCGUGAAUCUGGCGGGACCACCCGUCAAGCCUAAAUACUCCUUGGUGACCGAUAGUGGAUGAGUACCGUGAGGGAAGGGUGAAAAGUACCCCGGGAGGGGAGUGAAAGAGUUCCUGAAACCGGUCGCAUGCAAGCCGUCAGAGCCUGUGUGGUGAUGGCGUGCCUUUUGAAGAAUGAGCCUGCGAGUUAGUGAUGCGUGGCGAGGUUAACCCGUGGUGGGGGAGUCGUAGCGAAAGCGAGUCCGAUAAGGGCGUGAGUCGCGUGUUCUAGACCCGAAGCGGUGUGAUCUAUCCAUGGCCAGGAUGAAGCGUCGGUAAGACGUCGUGGAGGUCCGAACCCACUUCAGUUGAAAAUGGAGGGGAUGAGUUGUGGAUAGGGGUGAAAGGCCAAUCAAACACCGUGAUAGCUGGUUCUCCCCGAAAUGCAUUUAGGUGCAGCGUUGCGUGGUUCUUGUUGGAGGUAGAGCACUGGAUGGUCUAGGGGGCUUAUCGGCUUACCGAAAUCAGCCAAACUCCGAAUGCUGGCAAGUGUAGCGUGGCAGUGAGACGGCGGGGGAUAAGCUUCGUCGUCGAGAGGGAAACAGCCCAGAUCAUCAGCUAAGGCCCCUAAGUGGUGACUCAGUGGGAAAGGAUGUGGAGUUGCGUAGACAACCAGGAGGUUGGCUUGGAAGCAGCCAUCCUUGAAAGAGUGCGUAAUAGCUCACUGGUCAAGUGAUUCCGCGCCGAUAAUGUAGCGGGGCUUAAGUUAUCCGCCGAAGCUGUGGCAACCUGUGUGGUUGGGUAGGGGAGCGUCGUGUCAGUGGUGAAGCUGCCGGGUGACUGUGUGGUGGAGUUGAUGCGAGUGAGAAUGCAGGCAUGAGUAGCGUGUGACGGGUGGGAAUCCCGUCCGCCGAUUAUCCAAGGGUUCCAGGGUCAAGUUUGUCUGCCCUGGGUGAGUCGGGUCCUAAGGCGAGGCCGACAGGCGUAGUCGAUGGGUAACCAGUUGAUAUUCUGGUACCGGCUUGUCACCGUCCGUGUCGAGGUGUGUGAUGCUAAGCAUGUGAGCUUGUCUUGGGAGUGUUUUUGAUGCUUCUGGGGUGGGUGAGUGUGUGAACCGAUCAUGUAGUAGGCAAGCUGCGGAGGGACGCAGUGAGGUAGCUCAUCCCCGGUGAUGGUUGUCCGGGGCUAAGUGUGUGGACUGUCUGGUAGGUAAAUCCGCUGGGCGUGAAGGUUGAGGCAUGAUGGGGAGCCCAUGGUUGUGGGUGAGUGAGUGAUCCUGUACUGUCGAGAAAAGCUUCGUGAGCGAGGUGGCGGGUCCGCCCGUACCCUAAACCGACACUGGUGGAUAGGUAGAGUAUACCGAGGCGAUCGAGUGAAUCGUGGUGAAGGAACUCGGCAAAAUGCCCCCGUAACUUUGGGAUAAGGGGAGGCUGAGCUGUCGUGCACCCGUGCGGUGUGGUGGCGGUGAGGGGCGCAGAGUCCAGGAGCUGACUGGUACUAAUAGACCGAGGACUUUCAUUAACACGUAAGACGAUGUAUACGGACUGACUCCUGCCCGGUGCUGGAAGGUUAAGGUGAACUGUGAGUGUAUGCGUAGCGGUGAACUUAAGCCCCAGUAAACGGCGGUGGUAACUAUAACCAUCCUAAGGUAGCGAAAUUCCUUGUCGGGUAAGUUCCGACCUGCACGAAUGGAGUAACGAUUUCCCUACUGUCUCCACCAUGAACUCGGUGAAAUUGCAUUACGAGUAAAGAUGCUCGUUACGCGCAGCAGGACGGCAAGACCCCGGGGCCUUUACUAUAGUUUGGUAUUGGUGAUUGGGACGGUUUGUGUAGGAUAGGUGGGAGACGUUGAUGCGGCCACGCUAGUGGUGGUGGAGUCGUUGGUGAAAUACCACUCUGAUUGUUCUGGUUAUCUCACUGUGGACCGUGAUCCGGUUCAAGGACAGUGCCUGAUGGGUAGUUUGACUGGGGCGGUCGCCUCCUAAAGGGUAACGGAGGCGCCCAAAGGUUCCCUCAGCCUGGUUGGUAUGCUCGGCGCGCUAGCACUACGACCAGCCGGAGACGAGGUCGUCGUACUGCUUAUAGCUGGACGAAAGUCGGGACUAGUGAUCUGACGGUGGCUUGUGGAUGCGCCGUCACUCAACGGAUAAAAGGUACCCCGGGGAUAACAGGCUGAUCUUGCCCGAGCGCUCAUAGCGACGGCAUGGUUUGGCACCUCGAUGUCGGCUCGUCGCAUCCUGGGGCUGGAGUCGGUCCCAAGGGUUGGGCUGUUCGCCCAUUAAAGCGGCACGCGAGCUGGGUUCAGAACGUCGUGAGACAGUUCGGUCCCUAUCCGCUGCGCGCGGAGGAAUCUUGAGAAGGGCUGUCUUUAGUACGAGAGGACCGAGACGGACUGACCUCUGGUGUGCCAGUUGUUCUGCCAAGAGCAUGGCUGGUUGGCUACGUCGGGUUGUGAUAACCGCUGAAAGCAUCUAAGCGGGAAGCACGCUUCAAGAUAAGGGUUCCCACAGGAGUGUUCCUGGUAAGGUCCCCGAGAGAUGAUCGGGUUGAUAGGCCAGACGUGGACGCAUCGUAAGGUGUGGAGCUGACUGGUACUAAUAGACCGAGGACUUUCAUU